AACGAACGCUGGCGGCAUGCCUAACACGUGCGAGUCGAACGAGACCUUCGGGUCUAGUGGCGCACGGGUGCGUAACGCGUGGGAACCUGCCCUUAGGUUCGGAAUAACUCCCCGAAAGGGGCGCUAAUACCGGAUAAUGUCUUCGGACCAAAGAUUUAUCGCCUUUGGAUGGGCCCGCGUUGGAUUAGCUAGUUGGUAGGGUAAAAGCCUACCAAGGCGACGAUCCAUAGCUGGUCUGAGAGGAUGAUCAGCCACACUGGGACUGAGACACGGCCCAGACUCCUACGGGAGGCAGCAGUGGGGAAUAUUGGACAAUGGGCGAAAGCCUGAUCCAGCAAUGCCGCGUGAGUGAUGAAGGCCUUAGGGUUGUAAAGCUCUUUUACCCGGGAUGAUAAUGACAGUACCGGGAGAAUAAGCUCCGGCUAACUCCGUG
rnacentral:rRNA from 1 species